AUUGAACGCUGGCGGCAGGCCUAACACAUGCAAGUCGAACGGUAGCACAGAGAGCUUGCUCUCGGGUGACGAGUGGCGGACGGGUGAGUAACGUCUGGGAAACUGCCCGAUGGAGGGGGAUAACUACUGGAAACGGUAGCUAAUACCGCAUAACGUCGCAAGACCGAAGUGGGGGACCUCCGGGCCUCACACCAUCGGAUGUGCCCAGCUGGGAUUAGCUAGUAGGUGGGGUAAUGGCUCACCUAGGCGACGAUCCCUAGCUGGUCUGAGAGGAGGACCAGCCACACUGGAACUGAGACACGGUCCAGACUCCUACGGGAGGCAGCAGUGGGGAAUAUUGCACAAUGGGCGCAAGCCUGAUGCAGCCAUGCCGCGUGUAUGAAGAAGGCCUUCGGGUUGUAAAGUACUUUCAGCGGGGAGGAAGGCGGUGAAGUUAAUAGCUUCACCGAUUGACGUUACCCGCAGAAGAAGCACCGGCUAACUCCGUGCCAGCCGCCGCGGUAA
rnacentral:rRNA from 1 species